AACGAACGCUGGCGGCGUGCUUAACACAUGCAAGUCGCGCGAGAAAGGGGCUUCGGCUCCGAGUAAAGCGGCGCACGGGUGCGUAACACGUGGAUAAUCUGCCUUCAGGGCCGGGAUAACCUUCCGAAAGGAGGGCUAAUACCGGAUGAGCCCACGGGACCUUCGGGUCCAGGGGGAAAAGCUGGCCUCUGCAAGCAAGCUAGUGCCUGAAGAUGAGUCCGCGGCCCAUCAGCUAGUUGGCGGGGUAACGGCCCACCAAGGCGACGACGGGUAGCUGGUCUGAGAGGACGAUCAGCCACACUGGAACUGAGACACGGUCCAGACUCCUACGGGAGGCAGCAGUGGGGAAUCUUGCGCAAUGGGCGAAAGCCUGACGCAGCAACGCCGCGUGAGUGAUGAAGGUCUUCGGAUCGUAAAGCUCUUUCGGCAGGGAAACGGCACCCGGGUGAACAAUCCGGGGGUGACGGUACCUGCAGAAGAGCACCGGUAACU
rnacentral:rRNA from 1 species